UACGAAGGGGGCUAGCGUUGUUCGGAAUUACUGGGCGUAAAGCGCGCGCAGGCGGUCUUCCAAGUCAGUGGUGAAAGCCCGGAGCUCAACUCCGGAACUGCCAUUGAAACUGUGAGACUUGAGGAUGAGAGAGGUGAGUGGAAUUCCCAGUGUAGAGGUGAAAUUCGUAAAUAUUGGGAAGAACACCGGUGGCGAAGGCGGCUCUCUGGCUCAUUUCUGACGCUCAGGCGCGACAGCGUGGGGAUCAAACAGG
rnacentral:rRNA from 1 species